rnacentral:lncRNA from 1 species
ACCUGUAAAAUUUGAUAUUGAUUUCUUGAACGGGUUGUAGGUGCAGUGGAGAUUAUUCUUUUUCCUUUUGAAGCUCAUCACCAUUUGCCAAUGGGAUUAGAGUGAACUUCUUUAACGCUUGUUUUUUUUUUAAUCUCUUUGGUAAUCAGAGAGUAAUUGCAUUCCAUUCUAGAGGAACCAUGAGAAGUCAUAGUUGCUGCUCGAACAUUGAGGAAAAGUAUUUUAUAUAAAAUAAUAG